CUAGUAAAGACGUCUGCCUAGAACCGUGUGAGUUCUGUGUCCUGUUGGAUCAUCAACUUGUUUCCAUAAACAAGUGUGGAAAGCAGGUGUCGCGGUCAUGAUAAAUAAGGAAAGACUUAGUUCUACUUUCACAGACCAGAAGGACACCAUGCUUGAUGUUAUGUCAGAACCUGGAGCAGAAAAGGACAAUAAUGGAAAGAAACAGUCAAAUCUGAUGUGUAAAAGCAAAGCGAUUUUGGGAAGAGGAACUGCCUCAGAACCUUGUGCGCUUAGGACUCUCCACAUGGCCUGUCUCCAGGCAAAACCACCCAGGACUCAACGCUAGCAGGUGAGGCCAAGAGAGGACCCUGAAGACCCGAGAUCCGGAUGCGCCAUCUCUCUUGGUUCCUGGACCCUGGAUGCUGGAGGCAGACCGAACAGAG